rnacentral:rRNA from 1 species
UACAGAGGUCUCAAGCGUUGUUCGGAUUCAUUGGGCGUAAAGGGUGCGUAGGUGGCAGGGUAAGUCGGGUGUGAAAUCCCGGGGCUCAACCCCGGAACUGCACUCGAUACUGCCUUGCUCGAGUACUGGAGAGGAGACUGGAAUUUACGGUGUAGCAGUGAAAUGCGUAGAUAUCGUAAGGAAGACCAGUGGCGAAGGCGAGUCUCUGGACAGUUACUGACACUGAGGCACGAAGGCCAGGGGAGCAAACGGG